AUCUGGAGGUAAGAAGCACUUUGU
rnacentral:miRNA from 1 species